GAUUAACGCUGGCUGCGUGCAUAACACAUGCAAGUCGAGCGAUAAAACUUCGUCGACUUCUUCGGAAAGACACUAAGCGGAUUAGGGGCCAGCGGGUGAGUACCGCGUGAGUACCCUGCCUUACACCCGGGGAUAGCCUGUGGAAACGAGGAAUAAUACCCUAUAAAACCAAAAAAGCACAUACUAGAAUGGUCAAAGUGAUAGCGGUGUAAGAUGGACUUGCGUCUGAUUAGCUAGUUGGUUAGAUAAUAGCUCACCAAGGCAACGAUCAGUCUCCGGCUUGAGAGAGUGUACGGCCACAUUGGGACUGAGACACGGCCCAGACUCCUACGGGAGGCAGCAGUGGGGAAUUUUGCACAAUGGGGGAAACCCUGAGGCAGCGACGCCGCGUGAUUUAGAAGGCCUUCGGGUUGUAAAAAUCUUUUGUAUAGGAAGAAAAUGACAGUACUAUACGAAUAAGGGCCGGCUAAUUACGUG
rnacentral:rRNA from 1 species